rnacentral:lncRNA from 1 species
CCGAACCUCAUGUUCGGCCGCCGAACAUGCAUGAGUUUUGGAGUCACUUUCGGCUUCCGAAUGUGGCCUGGCCAGCCACCUAUAAAAGGCCCCAUGGCCGAAAAUGGGCGAGCUUUCUCCCCUAUUUUCGGCCAACGGUGAGUCCAUGCCCUUCCAUGGUUAGUUUCAAUGAUUUCCUUUAAAUCUUUCAAGUUUUGACAAGCCUUCAUCUUAUUUUUGAAGAUUUUUGAGUUAAAAACGGAGUUUUGGAGCUUGGAGACCCAAGGAGCUAGAUUUCUCUCAUUUCCAAGUUAGAAUCAUCUCUCCUCUCGAUCUUCAAGAGGUAAGCUUAGAUCCUACCUUUCUUGUAUGUUUUAAGCAAGUUUUGAGGGGUUAUGGGGUAGAAAUGCAUGCUUAGGUUAAUGUUGAGUUUAUGGACAAUGUGUGUUGUAUGAGUUGCUAUUUGUGUUUGUGUUGGGGUUUAGGUUAGUUUGAGACCCCUAUAUGCUUAUUUGCUUGUGUAUGCAUAUUGUAGAAUAGCUAAAUGCAUGUUUGAAUGGUUUGGGAGGCAAAAUGUGCAUGAGGAGGCUGAGUUCUGCCCUUUGGAAGAACUCAGGUUCGGUAGCCAAAGGACUUUCGGCCGCCGAACCUGCCUGUGGAGGCAAGCUUUUGGCUGCCGAACCCUGCCCCCGAAAGUUGGACUUUCGGCUCUGGAGGGGAGUUUCAGCCAUCGAAGGUGCCGCCGAACAUGCACGAGUUUCGGCUCUGGAACCACUUUCGGCCGCCAAAGGUGCCGCCGAAAGUGGUUGAGUUUCGGAUCUGGAGGGACUUUCGGCCGCCGAACCUGCCGCCGAAAGUGCUCUGUUCAGCCUUCCUUUGCAUGUUUUCUAUGAUUGUUUUAAGGUGUUUUAGGGGGUUUUUGGGGAGUUGUUUAGAGUCAUGUUCAUGUUUGUUUGGUCCCUCAUUUGAGUCCACCUGUGUAGGUUCGAACCCGAGGAACCGAGGACCCCAGCAGUGAGUUAGCUGCUUCAGUGUCUUCUCAGAGCUAGCCUGAGGUGAGUAGAAUAACUCCUUAUGUUUCAAAGUAAAUAAAUCAGUUCUGAGCAUGUUCAUGCAUCAAGAAUGCCAUGAGAUAUAUUAGGUUGUUUGCAUUAGAAUUCACGAAUAUGUUGCAUUGCAUAAUAUGAUGAUGAUGUGGAUGGGUAUUGGAUGAUCCUUUAUUCCUCGUAUGAUAUGACAUGAUGAUGAUAUGGUAUGGCAUGAAAGUCCAGGUCGAGGCCCAUUCUACGCCCCUGGCACUAUGUUAAGAGAAAGACCAGGUCGAGGCCUAUUCUAUGCCCCUGACAUUAUUGAAAUGCUAUGUUAUGUUAUGUUAAGAGAAAGACCAGGACGAGGCCCAUUCUACACCCCUGGCACUAUUGGUAUGUAGAGGACUACUGGUGACAAGUCCAUCCUUGAUUGUGAUUUAUUUGUGAUGUGAUGCAUUCCAUGAGAUCAUAUGUUUUAAAUACAAUAUUUUAUUAUUCUGCUCACUGGGCUCUAGUAGCUCACCCCAUUCCCUUAAUCCCCAGGUCGGCAGGUACGGGAUAGACCGGGAAGUCAGCAAGAGUAAAGAAGUCAUGUUGUAUGUAAUAGUUAGAUGUGGACAUGCAUUGUAAAAUGUUGUAAUGUGGUAUUAUGUAAAGAAUUGUGUU